rnacentral:rRNA from 1 species
GACGAACGCUGGCGGCGUGCUUAACACAUGCAAGUCGAACGAAGUGGCGAACGGGUGAGUAACGCGUAAUCAACCUGCCCUUCAGAGGGGGACAACAGUUGGAAACGACUGCUAAUACCGCAUACUGAAGGAGGGGAUUGCGGCUGCUUAGCUAGUGGGAGGAGGAACGGCCCACCAAGGCGAUGGGCAGUAGCCGGUCUGAGAGGAGGAACGGCCACAUUGGGACUUAGACAGUGUCCAGACUCCGAAGGGAGGCAGCAGUGGGGAAUAUUGGAAAAUGGGCGAGAGCCGGAUUCCGCCAUGCCGGGUGUGUGAAGAAGGUCUUCGGAUUGUAAAGCUCUGUUGUUAGAGAAGCGGUAUCUAACCAGAAAGCCACGGCUAACUACGUGCCAGACGCCGCGGUAAUAC